rfam:Sorghum bicolor cultivar BTx623 chromosome 4, whole genome shotgun sequence.
GUUGUCGGAUUCACUUCAAUCCAUGUGUGUUCGUGUGGGUUGGGGUAAAAUUUGGUUCAAAUUCCACUCCAAUCCACUUUACACAUGUAGAUUGAUGUGAAUCCAACU